rnacentral:rRNA from 1 species
UAAGGAAUAUUGGUCAAUGGACGCAAGUCUGAACCAGCCAUGCCGCGUGGAGGAUGAAGGUCCUCUGGAUUGUAAACUUCUUUUAUCUGGGACGAAACACUUCUUUUCUAAGAGGCCUGACGGUACCAGAUGAAUAAGCACCGGCUAACUCCGUGCCAGCAGCCGCGGUAAUACGGAGGGUGCAAGCGUUAUCCGGAUUCACUGGGUUUAAAGGGUGCGUAGGUGGGUAUGUAAGUCAGUGGUGAAAUCCCCGAGCUUAACUUGGGAACUACCAUUGAUACUAUAUAUCUUGAAUACCGUAGAGGUAAGCGGAAUAUGUCAUGUAGCGGUGAAAUGCUUAGAUAUGACAUGGAACACCAAUUGCGAAGGCAGCUUACUAUGCGGUGAUUGACACUGAGGCACGAAAGCGUGGGUAGCAAACA